rnacentral:rRNA from 1 species
UACGGAGGGUGCGAGCGUUGUCCGGAAUCACUGGGCGUAAAGGGCGCGUAGGCGGCAUGCCAAGCGUGUGGUGAAAGCCCGGGGCUCAACCCCGGGUCGGCCGUGCGGACUGGCGUGCUCGAGCACUGUAGGGGCGGGUGGAAUUCCGGGUGUAGCGGUGGAAUGCGUAGAGAUCCGGAAGAACACCGGUGGCGAAGGCGGCUCACUGGCUCGUAACUGACGCUCAGGCGCGACAGCGUGGGGAUCAAACAGG